CAACUUCUAUAGGAAAUACUUCUACUAAAUUUUUUUUUUUGGUAAAUUGGUAAAAGUGCAAAGAGCGUGGGACUAAGGGCACUUUAGGCAUGCUGGCUAGAAGUGCUUUUACAAGAAGAGCAUGUCGAAAUUUUUGUUGAAUGAAGUAUGCAUCAUAAUUGCAAAUAUCAUGCAUGACUUUAUUGAACAAAUUGAGUUAUAUUCUAUAUCGCCC
rnacentral:lncRNA from 1 species